rnacentral:rRNA from 1 species
GACGAACGCUAGCUACAGGCCUAACACAUGCAAGUCGAGGGACCGGCGCACGGGUGAGUAACACGUAUCCAACCUGCACUUUACCCGGGGAUAGCCUUUCGACAGAAAGAUUAAUACCCGAUGUAAAGGAUGGGGAUGCGUUCCAUUAGGUUGUUGGUGAGGUAACGGCUAACCAAGCCUUCGAUGGAGAGGGGUGCUGGGAGGAAGGCCCCCCACAUUGGAACUGGGACACGGUCCAAACUCCUACGGGAGGCAGCAGUGAGUAAGAUUAGUCAAUGAGCGUUAGCCUGAACCAGCCAAGUAGCGUGAAAGAUGAAGGCUUAUGAAUCGUAAACUUCUUUUAUAUAAGAAUAUGUAUUAUAUGAAUAAGGAACGGCUAACUCCGUGCCAGCAGCCGCGGUAAUAC